rnacentral:lncRNA from 1 species
CGCUGGUGGUGAGGUUGCGGUGGAGUGGCGAAGAUGAAGAAUAUGGCGUGAGGAGGGUGGGGGCUGAUGGUGGAUGAUGGUGAAGAUGGGAUGAUGAUGGAGUGAUGGAGGUAAAUUAUGGAUGGUGUGAUGCUGGCGUGAGGAUGAAUUGAGGGAAAACGUGUGGUAGAGAAAAGAAAGAAAAUGGAGGGGAGGGGAUAAAGUUGACGAUCAAGUGCUUGAGGCGAAUUGACAGCUGUGGAUAACAAUCCUCGACAGCAUCCUAAACCUUAAUGGACCCAUGGGAUUGGCUUUGCUAGAGGGAAUACUUGGAUCUCUUGUGAAGGAUGAAAUGUAGCUGCGUCCGUAUAUUAUCUUCCUUGAACUAGGUAUGAGAAACCUGACCCAAAAGAAAAAACUAAGUACGAAAAAAAUAAAUAAAUAAAUAAAUAAAUAAAAAAGAUGCAGGUUGGUUAACAGGUUUACCGUGAAAUUGGCUGGUUAGGUUACAAGCUAGUUUUAGGGCUGGUGCGGUUUCUAGUUUCAAAAACUGAGAAUCAGCUUUAACAGGAUAGAUUCCAUAUUUUCAGUCUAGAAGCUAUCUAUCUUGAAACUAAUCACUCUUAAAUACUAUAAUAGUUCAUUUGCUUUUUAAUUACAAAGCUUUGAAUCUUUUCUAUCUUGAAACUAUUCACUCUUAAAAACUAUAAUAGUUCAUCUGCUUUUUAAUCCAAAAGAUUAAGGAAUUCUCGUGAACUACAUAUUAUUUUAGAAAAAAUAAAUAUAAUCAUAACACAAAAUUAUAUGUUUUCAUCUAAAGACCUCAUAGCCUAUGACCAUUAAGACCUGACCUUUAGUUAUAAAAGACCCAUGAUAGGAAAAUGAUAGUGAAAGGAUGGAUUUUAAUGCUUAAUUGGAGAGACAGAAAGCGUGCUAAAGAACGAAAAUGAACUGCAUAAAAGCAUCACUUGGUGAACUCUUUCAUUGAGAUGGCGGUUUGAGUACAGCGAACAGAAUGCUUAUGGCAAUAACUUCACUGGCUCAAGACGACAAGGUGAGAAUGUGAGACUAAUUGUCAUGCAUAUCAUAAGAAGCAACUAUCACCUUCAGGGGGUCGACACAUGCAAAGUACUCUUUAAAAAUAUCAGUAACACUUAAGGACCAACCCUGCAUCUCUAAACUCAAGUAAAGUACCAAGUCUGACAAGUGAUGCUGGAAAGUCCAGAGGAUACCGCUGCUUGUUCUGCUAGGUGAAGCUUUGCACACAAUCUAAUCCAUCGAACUACUCUACACUGAGUCUGAGGGCAGCAAAUACGGUAAACUUUUUAAAGAAAAUCCUGCAGGUAACAUUAAAUACCAGGCGGUAAUCAGUAUCAAAAGAAAAUCAAGAAUGGAGAAGAAGCCAUGACAGUCAAUCAGCAACAGCAGUAUCUUUGUGUAGCACGUCGCCUGUUUGAGCUUAAGUAGUACAACCAUGGUGGAGCUUGACAUAAAGAUUACCACCAAGGAUUGUGACCAUCACUGUUUGUCUUAAAGAGUUACAUGUAAAAUAUGGGCUUUGACCCAGUCAAAAAUAAAAAGGAGAAAGAGAGAGAGAGGAAUCGAGAGUUUUCGGGAGAGAGAGAGAGAGAGGAAGGAAGAAAAGACAGAAAGAAAAACAAAAGGAAAAAAGAAAAGAAAAAGGAGGAGAUAAAAGGGAAAGAGAGAAGGAAAGAAGGGAUAGAGAGGGACCGCAGAGAGCUCGAACACAGGGAGAAGAAUAAAGAGAGAAAGAAGAAGAAGAAGAAGAGAAAAUAAAAAGAGAGGCUUCAUGCGUUCUCGUCACGGGAACCUCG